AGAGUUUGAUCCUGGCUCAGGACGAACGCUGGCGGCGUGCCUAACACAUGCAAGUCGAGCGAAGUGACUGGAGAUGAAAUUUUCGGAUGAAAUUUCCAGUCAUCUUAGCGGCGGACGGGUGAGUAACGCGUGAGAAACCUGCCUUUCACAAAGGGAUAGCCUCGGGAAACUGGGAUUAAUACCUUAUGACACUUACAUCUCGCAUGAGAAGUAAGUUAAAGCGCAAAGCGGUGAAAGAUGGUCUCGCGUCCUAUUAGCUAGUUGGUGAGGUAACGGCCCACCAAGGCGACGAUAGGUAGCCGGCCUGAGAGGGUGAACGGCCACACUGGAACUGAGACACGGUCCAGACUCCUACGGGAGGCAGCAGUGGGGAAUAUUGCACAAUGGAGGAAACUCUGAUGCAGCGACGCCGCGUGAAUGAUGAAGGCCUUCGGGUCGUAAAAUUCUGUCCUUGGGGAAGAUAAUGACGGUACCCAAGGAGGAAGCCCCGGCUAACUACGUGCCAGCAGCCGCGGUAAUACGUAGGGGGCGAGCGUUGUCCGGAAUUAUUGGGCGUAAAGGGUUCGCAGGCGGUCUGAUAAGUCAGAUGUGAAAGGCUAUGGCUUAACCAUGGUAAGCAUUUGAAACUGUCAGACUUGAGUUAAGGAGAGGAAAGUGGAAUUCCUAGUGUAGCGGUGAAAUGCGUAGAUAUUAGGAGGAACACCAGUGGCGAAGGCGACUUUCUGGACUUAUACUGACGCUGAGGAACGAAAGCGUGGGGAGCAAACAGGAUUAGAUACCCUGNUAGUCCACGCCGUAAACGAUGAGUGCUANGUGUUGGGGGUCAAACCUCAGUGCCGCAGCUAACGCAUUAAGCACUCCGCCUGGGGANUACGCUCGCAAGAGUGAAACUCNAAGGAAUUGACGGGGAUCCGCACAAGCAGCGGANCAUGUGGUUUAACUCGAAGCAACGCGAANAANCUUACCUGGNCUUGACAUCCUUCAGAAAUCNCNUUAACCG
rnacentral:rRNA from 1 species